rnacentral:rRNA from 1 species
AACGAACGCUGGCGGCGCGCCUAAUACAUGCAAGUCGAACGAGAAGCUGUAGCAAUACAGUUGUACAGUGGCGAACGGGUGAGGAAUACAUGGGUGACCUACCCUCGAGUGGGGAAUAACCAGCCGAAAGGUUGGCUAAUACCGCGUACGCUUCCCAGUCUACGGGUUGGGAAGGAAAGCGAUGCCGUGGGUAUCGCGCUCAAGGUUGGGCUCAUGUCCUAUCAGCUUGNGGUGGGGUAACGGCUCACCAAGGCAACGACGGGUAGCUGGUCUGAGAGGACGAUCAGCCACACUGGCACUGCGACACGGGCCAGACUCCUACGGGAGGCAGCAGUAAGGAAUAUUGCGCAAUGGGCGAAAGCCUGACGCAGCGACGCCGCGUGGGGGAUGAAGGUCUUCGGAUUGUAAACCCCUUUCGGGAGGGAAGAUGGAACGAGCAAUCGUUCGGACGGUACCUCCAGAAGCAGCCACGGCUAACUUCGUGCCAGCAGCCGCAGU